GGGCGUGUAGCUCAGGUGGUUAGAGCNNUAAUGACGAGGUCGAUGGUUCGAGUCCAUCCACGCCCACCA
rnacentral:tRNA from 1 species